rnacentral:misc_RNA from 1 species
GCAAUUUUUACAAAGUUAAAAACCGCUUGGGUACCGAAGCGUCCUCUGGCGUUGUGUUGUUUACUACUCUGUGUUCGCCGGUUUGGCUUUGGUUUUCCCUUUUUCCAACUGAGUAAUUGUUCGAAAUAAUUCCGAGAUACUAUUUAAAAUGUCAAGUGAAGUGGCUGAGGUUGUGACCGAAAACAAUCAGCAUGAUGCUGCUGAGGCCAAAGGAAAAAAGGGUUUAGUGAAGAAACUGUCUGCUCUGGAACGGACCACCCAAGAAGGUGAAGCACUGCUCAAAGAAAUGGGAUACAAGGAAGAUGGAGAAGAUCAAGGUAGACGGAGAACAAGGUCGGGAGCAAAAGUAGUCCCUGCAGCGUCCCCACCCCCAGCCAAGAAAGAGAAGAAAACUCCAAAAAAGACACCUAAAUCUCCUUCAGCUGGUACUGGUCGCAGAGGGAGGCCCCCAAAGAAAAGUGUCAAUGACAGCUCAACAGAAAAUGAAGAAUCUGAAAUGAAGGAUGAGGAAAGAACAGAGGUAAGCACAGAAGAAGCCAAAGAUGACACAAAGCCAAUUGAGGAAGCAGCCAACGAAGAAAAAGAAAAACAAGAAACAGAGAAGCAAGAAACAGAGGAAAACAACAAGAAAGAAAACAACGAUGCCGCUACCACUAGUGAGCCGAUCAAAGAGAAAGAAGACAGCUCAGAACCGAAAGAAGAGAGUAAAGCCUCAGAAUAAAAAAACAAACAAACAAACAAAAACGUUAAAUGUAACUGCCAAAACCUCUCCUAUAAUCCUGAUCACCCUAACCCCUUUUUUUAAACAAAAGUAUAUUGCGUUCUAAGCAACAAAAAAAUACGAAAAGAAAAAAAGAAAUAAUAAUAAGUACGGUAAUCGUUUGAAUGUUUGAAGCAAAUACGGAAGCAGAUUUGGAGUAGUAAUUUGUGUUUCUCUUUUUAGUUUAUUAUAUAUUUUUUUUCGUUUGGGGUUUUGUUUGUUUUAGUCUCUUCUUCUUGAUUAUUUUUUAUUAUUAUUAUUUUUUUAUUUUUUUUUUUCAUUUUACUUUCCCAAUUGUGCCACAUUUUUCCGGCUUAGGGGUAAGUUUAGGAGCGUUUUCUUAUUCUUUUGGAGAAUAUUGGGAUGAAUGUAAUUCUGAGAGUGCAAAAGUUGCCAUUGCAAUGCAUCUUGCGUUGUUUUACCUAGAGCUCCCCUUCAUUUAACGCCAAUUUGUUAUCAUCAGCUCACAAUUUCAUCCCUGGACCAACGGAUUUGUAUUUCUUUCCUUACAAUACUGUUCAUCCUGCACCGUCGCUACAUGUCUACUACUCCCCAAUGAAUGCGAAUACUGUUUGUCGUAGUAGGCCGUAACCGUUUUUUUUUUUCCACAUUUUCUUUUUGAAUCAAUCGCAUUUGAUUUUAUUCGUGUGACUUGCGUUUUCUUUUUACUUUUUUGUUUUUUUUUAUUAUGCGGGCGAACAUUUGUUUGUUUUUUGCAAAACACAAAUACAAAAAUAAGCAGUUUUUCAUUGCACUGGAUGCCUUCGUGUGUGGUAGUUUUUGGCUUUAAGGAGGUCUGGAAGUCUAAAAAUAAAACACGCUCUUAUACAAAUCCGAGCUGCCGUCCAAGAGGCAGUCUUAAUACAUCUUAGUCUUGCUGCGGAAGUUGUUUUACGUCUGUCCUUUAUUACCUACUGGACCCCAGGCACUUGGAUUGAUGUCCCGGCUUGAAAGUUUUUGAAAAUGCAACACAAUACACAAUACGUUUUAUAUUA